rnacentral:miRNA from 1 species
CAAAAGAUCUGGCUACACUGA